rnacentral:rRNA from 1 species
AUUGAACGCUGGCGGCAGGCCUAACACAUGCAAGUCGAGCGGAUGAAGGGAGCUUGCUCCUGGAUUCAGCUGCGGACGGGUGAGUAAUGCCUAGGAAUCUGCCUGGUAGUGGGGGAUAACGUCCGUAAACGGGCGCUAAUACCGCAUACGUCCUGAGGUAGAAAGUGGGGGAUCUUCGGACCUCACGCUACCAGAUGAGCCUAGGUCGGAUUAGCUAGUUGGUUGGGUAAAGGCCUACCAAGGCGACGAUCCGUAACUGGUCUGAGAGGAUGAUCAGUCACACUGGAACUGAGACACGGUCCAGACUCCUACGGGAGGCAGCAGUGGGGAAUAUUGGACAAUGGGCGAAAGCCUGAUGCAGCCAUGCCGCGUGUGUGAUGAAGGUCUUCGGAUCGUAAAGCACUUUAAGUUGGGAGGAAGGGCAGUAAGUUAAUACCUUGAUGUUUUGACGUUACCUAAAGAAUAAGCCCCGGCUAACUUCGUG